UCAAGCUAAUAAGAGCACAGGGUGGAUGCCCAGGCACCAAACGCCGACGAAAGACGUGGCAAGCUGCGAAAAGUCACGGGGAACCGCAAGCAGGUAUUGAUCCGUGAACGUCUGAAUGGGGAAACCCGGCGGGUUAACAGCCCGUCACUAUUAACUGAAUCAAUAGGUUAAUAGGGGGAACGCGGGGAACUGAAACAUCUCAGUACCCGUAGGAAGAGAAAAUAAAGAAUGAUUUCCUAAGUAGCGGCGAGCGAACGGGAAAGAGGCCAAACCGAAGGGCUUGCUCUUCGGGGUUGUGGAUCAGCAAAAAGGACGGAAGACCUUAGCAGAAGAGGAUUGGAAAGUCCCGCCAGAGAGGGUAAAAGCCCCUUACGCGAAAAGGUCAAACGACGAGCUGACACCAGAGUACCGCAGGACACGAGAAAUCCGGUGGGAAGCCGGGAGGACCACCUCCCAAGCCUAAAUACGAAUUGGUGACCGAUAGCGCAUAGUACCGUGAGGGAAAGGUGAAAAGAACCCCGGGAGGGGAGUGAAAAAGAACCUGAAACCCUGUGUUUACAAGCAGUGAAAGUGCGAGCAAGGCACGAUCACGUACUUUUUGUAGAACGGACCGGCGAGUUACGUUAUGCAGCAAGGUUAAGAACUGAAGGUUCGGAGCCGAAGCGAAAGCGAGUCUGAAUAGGGCGAUAGUUGCAUGACGUAGACCCGAAACCGGGUGACCUAUCCAUGAGCAGGUUGAAGUGGAGGUAAAGCUCCAUGGAGGACCGAACCAGACGUCUGUUGAAAAAGGCGGGGAUGACUUGUGGAUAGGGGAGAAAUUCCAAUCGAACCCGGAGAUAGCUGGUUCUCCUCGAAAUAGCUUUAGGGCUAGCCUCAUGGAUCAUUGGUGGGGGUAGAGCACUGAAUGUGCGCGGGGGCCACAAAGCCUACCAAACGCUAUCAAACUUCGAAUACCAUACAAUGCAGACCAUGGGAGUCAGUCCGCGAGAGAUAAGUUCCGCGGGCAAAAGGGGAACACCCCAGAUCAACCGCUAAGGUCCCCAAGUUCACGUUAAGUGGAGAAGGAUGUGGAAUUGCACAGACAACCAGGAUGUUGGCUCAGAAGCAGCCACACAUUUAAAGAGUGCGUAAUAGCUCACUGGUCGAGUGAUUGUGCGCCGAAGAUGUCCGGGGCUAAACGUGACACCGAAGCGAUGGGUGCAUCUGAAGAAGAUGCGCGGUAGAGGAGCAAUGUGCAGAGGCAGAAGCCGUAUCGAGAGGCACGGUGGACACUGCACAAGAGAGAAUGCCGGUAUGAGUAGCGAGAGGCAUGCGAGAAACAUGCCCGUCGAAAGCCCAAGGUUUCCUGGGGAAGGUUCAUCCGCCCAGGGUAAGUCGGGGCCUAAGCCGAGGACGGAAGUCGUAGGCGAUGGACAGCAGGUGUAGAUUCCUGCACUACCGAUGGAAUGAAGCAGUGACACAGAAGGAUAACUCGAGCAGGGUGAUGGUCAACCCUGUGCAAGCAUCGAGGUUGGGUUGUAGUGAAGUACGCAACCCUAUAAGCUGAGGUGUGAUGCGGACCGAAAUUUCAGUAGGGAAGCGAGUGAGUUCACGCUGGCGAGAAAAGCUGCUAGUACAUCCAAAGGUACCCGUACCGGAAACCGACGCAGGUGGGCGAGGAGAGAAUCCUGAGACGAACGGGAGAACCCUUGUUAAGGAACUCGGCAAAAUGACCCCGUAACUUCGGGAUAAGGGGUGCCUGCGAGAGCAGGCCGCAGAGAAUAGGCCCAAGCGACUGUUUAGCAAAAACACAGGUAUCUGCGAAAGCGAGAGCUGACGUAUAGGUGCUGACACCUGCCCGGUGCUGGAAGGUUAAGGGAACAUGUUAGAGCAAUCGAAGCAUCGAACCGAAGCCCCAGUAAACGGCGGCCGUAACUAUAACGGUCCUAAGGUAGCGAAAUUCCUUGUCGGGUAAGUUCCGACCCG
rnacentral:rRNA from 1 species